GAUAAACGCUGGCGGCGUGCAUAAAACAUGUAAGUCGAACGGGGGAGGCCGCAAGGCCGAGCCUAGUGGCGGACGGCUGAGUAACGCGUAGGUGACUUGCCCUGAAGUGGGGAAUAACGGUUCGAAAGAAUCGCUAAUACCGCAUGUGGUUGUGCGUGUAGACGCGUGCAACUAAAGCCCGCAAGGGCGCUUCUUGAGAGGCCUGCGUCCGAUUAGCUAGUUGGUGGGGUAACGGCCUACCAAGGCGACGAUCGGUAGCUGGUCUGAGAGGACGAUCAGCCACACUGGGACUGAGACACGGCCCAGACUCCUACGGGUGGCAG
rnacentral:rRNA from 1 species